ACUUUCGACCGCAGAUGGUAUCUCUCCGGACUUCUCCAACGGCCGGAUUCCCAUAGUGCUGACUGAAUUUCCUCGACGGACGAACUCCCACUGCACCAUCCGAGCUCCUUCAACAUGAGUUCCCCCAGUUAUCUAUUAAGCCGCCCCAAGUGCUCACUAAGCUCUGCCGCCAGCCGACUUUCUACGACUAUCAGCUGUUCCCCGAAUCCCUUCCAGACUUCUUCCAGCCAGGUUCAACUCCAAUCCGAACUACCCCGAACUUCGUCAAUGGCUGAACUUCUCCAACGGUAGUUUCCUACGACUACCAGAUUUCAUCCAGACUCCUACGGGAGCCGGACCUCGUUCCCGACUCCGACUGCAGGCGGACUUCG
rnacentral:lncRNA from 1 species